rnacentral:rRNA from 2 species
GGAUGCGAUCAUAACAGCACUAAACCACC